CUAAUGCCAGUGGUGCCAUUGCGCUCUACCCUCUCCCCCAAUGUAAGAAGUAAAGCUGUUUAAAAACAGUUUGACUUCUUACCUGGGGGUGCUGAUGUGGUUUCCUGCCUCCACUAUUACUCAGUGGUAGUAGCAUCCAGCAAACCCCAGGUAAGAUGCCAAACCUUUCUGAAACAGUUUAACUCCUUACAAUGGACUGGGGAGAAGGGGUUCCAGGACAUUCCUGACACCAUAACCACUAUAACCUAGCUUAAUGUAGUGGUUAUAGUGCUAGGAGCAUUUCCUCAUUACCUGUAAUUUUAUAUGGCAUGCCAAGGUGCAAAUAUGCAGUUGGCAAAAAAUAAAAUUCAAUAGUUUGUCUGUCAGUAACAAUUACAUACAUGCAGCAUUCUAAAUGCACCCAAUAUUUAUUAGUUUUUUGGCACUCUGAAUGUUGUUGACU